rnacentral:rRNA from 1 species
AUGACAAAUGCUAGCCCAUGUAAGACACCCAUGCCAACAAAAAUUGUACUCACUAAAGACACAAACGGUUUCCCUUUCGACCCAUCUCUUUACAGCUCUAUGAUUGGUUCAUUGCUUUAUCUUUGUGCAUCUAGACUAGACAUCAUGUUCAGUGUAUGCAUAUGUGCUAGAUUUCAAGCUUCACCUAGGGGAAGUCAUCAUAAGGCGGUUAAGCAUAUUCUUAGAUACCUUGUUCACACCCCAAAGUUGGGUCUAUGGUACCCCAAGGAUGCAAAGUUUGAUCUCACUGGGUACACGGAUGCGGAUUGUGCUGGAGACAAAGUGGGACGGAAGUCCACCUCCGGUGCAUGUCAAUUUCUUGGACGCUCCUUGGUAAGUUGGUCCUAG